UACGUAGGGGGCAAGCGUUAUCCGGAUUUAUUGGGUGUAAAGGGUGCGUAGGCGGGUGAUCAAGUUGAAUGUGAAAUCCACCGGCUCAACUGGUGGGCUGCGUUCAAAACUGAUCAUCUUGAGUAUGGUAGAGGCAAGUGGAAUUCCCAGUGUAGCGGUAAAAUGCGUAGAGAUUGGGAGGAACACCAGUGGCGAAGGCGACUUGCUGGGCCAAAACUGACGCUGAGGCACGAAAGUGUGGGGAGCAAAC
rnacentral:rRNA from 1 species